UACGGAGGGUGCAAGCGUUAUCCGGAUUCACUGGGUUUAAAGGGAGCGUAGGUGGGCUGGUAAGUCAGUGGUGAAAUCCCCGAGCUCAACUUGGGAACUGCCAUUGAUACUAUCAGUCUUGAAUACUGUGGAGGCUAGCGGAAUAUGUCAUGUAGCGGCGAAAUGCUUAGAUAUGACAUAGAACACCAACGGCGAAAGCACUCUGCUGGGCCGACACUGACACUGAGAGACGAAAGCUAGGGGAGCGAAUGGG
rnacentral:rRNA from 1 species